rnacentral:misc_RNA from 1 species
GACGAAGAACGUAGCGAAAUGCGAUAAGUAAUGUGAAUUGCAGAAUUCAGUGAAUCAUCGAGUUUUUGAACGCAUAUUGCGCCCUCUGGUAUUCCGGGGGGCAUGCCUGUUCGAGCGUCAUUAAAUAACCCUCAAGCAUAGCUUGGUGUUGGGCUUUUUUACGUCCUUGACUGGGAUGGGCCUAAAAAUUAGUGGCGAUGGCUUUUUUACUUUCAAGCGUAGUAAAUCUCGUCUUGCUAAAGAGGAAAAAGAUUUUUUUUCUGCCAAAAAUUUUAACAUUUAAAGUUGACCUCGGAUCAGGUAGGAUUACCCGCUGAACUUAAGCAUAUCAAUAAGCGGAGGA